rnacentral:misc_RNA from 1 species
GAAAUGCGAUAAGUAAUGUGAAUUGCAGAAUUCAGUGAAUCAUCGAAUCUUUGAACGCACCUUGCGCUCCUUGGUAUUCCUUGGAGCAUGCCUGUUUGAGUAUCAUGAAAUCUUCAAAGUAAAUCUUUUGUUAACUCAAUUGGUUUCUACUUGGUAUUGGAGGUCUUUGCAGCUUCACACCUGCUCCUCUUUGUUCAUUAGCUGGAUCUCAGUGUUAUGCUUGGUUCCACUCGGCGUGAUAAGUUAUCUAUCGCUGAGGACACUGUAAAAGGUGGCCAAGGUAAAUGCAGAUGAACCCCUUCUAAUAGUCCAUUGACUUGGACAAUACUUUUAUGAUCUGAUCUCAAAUCAGGUAGGACUACCCGCUGAACUUAAGC